rnacentral:tRNA from 1 species
GCCUGGCUGGCUCAGUCAAUGGAGCAUGUGACUCUUGAUCUUAGAGUUGUAGGUUCAAGCCCCACGUUAGGCG